AAGAAAUGAUAAGGACUUAUCAACUUGUUUCUUCACUUAUCAUACAUUAUCGUCAUCUUUCCAAGAUUGUGGGCAUAGUGACUUGGUAGAUUCUAUAGAAGCAACAAGAAUUAAACCCAAAGGAGACAACAGUAGUGGAAUUUUCCUUCCUCCCUUCGGGAUGGCUAAUUACAAGAUGCAAGGUGAUCUUUGGGUAAAUCCAGAAACGUCUGACCUUGAAAGAAAAAUCUAUCUUCAUAGCGCUGCAGAUUCCUGGUUGAAACGGCUUGACGUUUACCACAAUGAUUAUGACUUUUUUACGUACCACUCUCCCAUGUAAAAUGCUGUCUACUAAUUUGCUUUUCCUUUGGUUUUCUUCCAGUGGUCUGGCAACUGCCAUUAACCUGGUUCCCUCUUUAGUAGUUCAGAGGUCAUUUAGAAACUGAGCGUUGAUUUAUGUCCUGGAGUUACUGUAAAUUAUGUAGCCAUGAAACUGAAAGUAUGAAACCCUGUCAACAGCAACUGGCUUAAUCCAGAAAGUUUUCUCAGAUUUUUCCCCCCUUUAUAGGCUUGCAUUAACCUGUAAUGUUCAAUUGGGGUUUGUUCAUCUUAAAUAUUCCUGCUCCCG
rnacentral:misc_RNA from 1 species